rnacentral:rRNA from 1 species
GACGAACGCUGGCGGCGUGCUUAACACAUGCAAGUCGAACGGAAAGGCCCUGCUUUUGUGGGGUGCUCGAGUGGCGAACGGGUGAGUAACACGUGAGUAACCUGCCCUUGACUUUGGGAUAACUUCAGGAAACUGGGGCUAAUACCGGAUAGGAGCUCCUGCUGCAUGGUGGGGGUUGGAAAGUUUCGGCGGUUGGGGAUGGACCCGCGGCUUAUCAGCUUGUUGGUGGGGUAGUGGCUUACCAAGGCUUUGACGGGUAGCCGGCCUGAGAGGGUGACCGGCCACAUUGGGACUGAGAUACGGCCCAGACUCCUACGGGAGGCAGCAGUGGGGAAUAUUGCACAAUGGGCGGAAGCCUGAUGCAGCAACGCCGCGUGCGGGAUGACGGCCUUCGGGUUGUAAACCGCUUUCGCCUGUGACGAAGCGUGAGUGACGGUAAUGGGUGAAGAAGCACCGGCUAACUACGUG